rnacentral:tRNA from 1 species
GGUUUUAUAGUUAAAAAAUAAUAUUAAAGUGCAAAUUUAAAGUUGUGAAUUUUCACUAAAACCU